GUUUUAUACGUGUGUUAUACGCAUGCGCGGUUGUUAGCGCAUGCGCGGUAAAGAGCGUGCCGGCACCCACCACCCUGUCAGUCCCCAAGACUUAUUUUUUUUAUGAAUGAGAAUGGGCGGAGCUUCUCUUUCGCAAACAAUCUGCUUUUGUAGCCAACAGGGGGCGCGUUUAUAUUUAUAUAUAUGUUCUUCCUCCAUACUGAAGCCAAAACGCAGAAAGCGACGAAGAGGAAUCCAGAUGUUGCUGGGAACUUAUUUAGUUUAAUCAGACACAGAGGGUGUUUCCGGUUUCCGUGUUUACGCGUCCUGGGAUCUAAAGACACAGGAGCACGAGGCAGUGCUAAUCUGAUAUUAGCUUAGCAAAGACGAGCGGCUAGAUCAGGAGAAUUUUUAGGUGUCGCCAGAAAAAAAACACACAACAGCGGCUGACUGUAUAAUAAAAGCCGCUCGUGAGUUGAUGCAAAGGGUUUCCGUGUGUGUGUGUGUGUGUGUGAGAGAGAGUGAGUGAGUGAGAGAGAGAGAGAGAGCGAGAGCGAGCGCGCGCAUGCAAGGCACAGAGGCUCGCGUCUCCACUCCACCGUCACGCAACUUGGACAAAAUGCCAAGUUUGCUGUUAGUCCUGGAGCUCGCGCUGAGCGUGUGUUAAAUGUCUACACUUUUAAACGUGCUGCAGUUUUCCUCGGCUGAUGGUCGCUGACCACGACACCAGUCUAUAAUCCGCCUUUUCGCUUGUAAUUCCUCGACUGAUUAGAUACAGGAAGGUGUGUUUUUAUUGCUGGAAAGGGACCUGAAGGAUGGCUGCCACUUUAUCAGCAGAGGAAGAGCAGGCUGGACAUGUCCACAGUCCAGCAGAGAGACCCGUUCUAUUAGCC
ensembl:lncRNA